rnacentral:tRNA from 2 species
GCCUCCAUAGCUCAGCUGGCCAGAGCACGUGAUUUGUAAUCUCGGGGUCGUGGGUUCGAAUCCCUCUGGAGGCUCCA